CUGCUCCACAGCGCCCAGUCCCAUCAACCACCCAAGGGCUGAAUUGUGCGGGCGCAGGGCACGGGACUGGCAGGCAGCUCCACCGGUAGCCCCGGUGCGGGAUCCACUGGGUGAAGCCAGCUGGGCUCCUGAGUCUGGUGGGGACGUAGAGAACCUUUAUGUCUAGCUCAGGGAUUGUAAAUUCACCAGUCGGCACUCUGUAUCUAGCUCAAGGUUUGUAAACACACCAAUCAGCACCCUGUGUCCAGCUCAGGGUUUGUAAAUGCACCAAUCGACACUCUGUAUCUAGCUACUCUGGUGGGGCCUUGGAGAACCUUUGUGUCCACACUCUGUAUCUAGCUAAUCUGGUGGGGAAGGGGAGAACCUUUGUGUCUAGCUCAGGGCUUGUAAAAGCACCAAUCAGUGCCCUGUCAAAACAGACCACUGGGCUCUACCAAUCAGCAGGAUGUGGAUGGCGGGGGUUGGCGGGGGGCAGAUAAGAGAAUAAAAGCAGGCUGCCAGAGCCAGCAGUUGCAACCUGCUCAGGUCCCCUUCUACACUGUGGAAGCUUUGUUCUUUCGCUCUUUGCAAUAAAUCUUGCUACUGCUCACUCUUUGGGUCCACUCUGCUUUUAUGAGCUGUAACACUCACCGCGAAGGUCUGCAGCUUCACUCCUGAAGCCAGUGAGACCACGAGCCCACCUGGAGGAAGGAACAACUCCAGAGGCCCUGCCUUAAGAGCUGUAACACUCACCGCGAAGGUCUGCAGCUUCACUCCUGAAGCCAGCGAGACCACGAGCCCACCUGGAGGAACAAACAACUCCAGAGGCGCCGCCUUAAGAGCUGUAACACUCACCGCGAAGGUCUGCAGCUUCACUCCUGAGCCAGCGAGACCACGAACCCACCAGAAGGAAGAAACUCCGAAAACAUCUUAACAUCAGAAGGAACAAAUUCCAGACGCGCCAUCUUAAGAGCUGUAACACUCACCGCGAGGGGCGUGGCUUCAUGCUUGAAGUCAGUGAGACCAAGAACCCACCAAUUCUGGACACAUUAUGACCUUUGUUUCCUGCCAUGGAAGAAAAUUUAAAUUCCCAGGCUGAAGAAGCAAAUUAGGCCUCUCAAGCAGAAACCAACAGUGUAUCACAAACUCAUGAAAAAUUUCAUAGAUGUCUCAGAAGAAGCAGUGAAAAAUAUUGGUUCUGAGAAGCAAUCAUCAGCCAGUAAGUUUGUAUGUCAUUUGGUGCCAAACAACCUUAGGUCUUGUCCCAGUUUUAUAUGAUUUUGACCAUUCAUUUAGUGUAUUUAAUUUCCACUAUCACUUUUUACAAUGGGAUUAUUGAUUCUACUUAUUUUAUAUGUCUGCUUUAUUAUUAAAUAUCUGACCUAAGGUCUCUAAGUGCAUAAUCACAUUCAAUGUUCACAAUAUUCUAUGGACUUUCUAGGCUCCCACAUUAAGUGAUACAAUGCAUGUAAAAUACUUACAUAAUACCUGAAAAAUAGAAAUUAUCCAAAAAUAUUACUACUAAUAUUAUGGAAGUUAUCAUGUUUAUGAGGAAAAUAUUCAUCAAAUUAUGAACCAAAUGAAUGGUUUAUAAAAUAAAGGAAUGAUCCAGUGUCUGGUAGGCAUAUA
rnacentral:lncRNA from 1 species